rnacentral:rRNA from 1 species
UGGGGAAUUUUGGACAAUGGGGGAAACCCUGAUCCAGCCAUCCCGCGUGUGCGAUGAAGGCCUUCGGGUUGUAAAGCACUUUUGGCAGGAAAGAAACGUCAUGGGUUAAUACCCCGUGAAACUGACGGUACCUGCAGAAUAAGCACCGGCUAACUACGUGCCAGCAGCCGCGGUAAUACGUAGGGUGCAAGCGUUAAUCGGAAUUACUGGGCGUAAAGCGUGCGCAGGCGGUUCGGAAAGCAAGAUGUGAAAUCCCAGAGCUCAACUUUGGAACUGCAUUUUUAACUACCGGGCUAGAGUGUGUCAGAGGGAGGUGGAAUUCCGCGUGUAGCAGUGAAAUGCGUAGAUAUGCGGAGGAACGCCGAUGGCGAAGGCAGCCUCCUGGGAUAACACUGACGCUCAUGCACGAAAGCGUGGGGAGCAAACAGG